ACUUGGAGAACCUAUUCUUCCAUCCAAAUCCAUGGAUCUAAGAAGCAAGGAAUGAAGGGCCUAUCUCUUUGGGUGAUUAGCCUUUGCUUAUGCAAAGAGGAAUCUACAAAGGUAUUAAUUUCAACUCACUUUGUUUUGAGUUGAUUAUUGGUUCACCAAUCUACUAGGCUUUGAAUUUCAUGGUAAUGUUUUGUUUUUGAGUGCAUACAAGUAUGAUUCCGCCUUUAAUUGUUAAUUGCAUGCUAUAUGAUGUUGCUCAAAUGAACAUGUUUUCCCAAAAGAUUUCCUUCAAGUGGUAUCAGAGCCUAGGUCUAGUAGUUGGUGAAUCCUUUUGGGUUUUGUAGUUCAUAGUAUGUGAUCUAAAAGUUGUAAUUGUUACAAGCUUUAUUCUUGCUUCUUUGAAAGUAAAUUUUGUUGGAAAAUUUGCUAUCUCAAAUGUUGUAGAUGUUGUUCAUAUGAGCAUGAAUAUUGGAGCUAAAAUUUGGUGCCAUGCUUUUGGGAAAAUUCGGCCAAAACCAAAGGGUGGGUGGAUUUUUGGGUUCUUGUUUGACUUGUUAAAAGUGUUUUAAUGUGUUCUUUGGAACCCCUAAGUACCCUAGUUUGGUUAGAUGUUAUUUCCCUUAAGUAAGAAUGAUUUUGGAAUGUUUUUGGGUGAAAAAAGUUCAUGGAAAAAUUUGGGUUUUUCAUGGAUGUUCUUCAUUGUUCUUGAUGUUCUUGCCAAGAACAAAAAGGUUUGGUGUUUUGAUUCAAAGUUUUGAUUUAUUUCAUAAAGUUUAUGUGAUAUGUUUUUUAAAUGAUUUAUCAUGUAUUUAAAGUGUUAGAUAUUUGUAUAAAUGAUGAUUGAAAUAAUUGUGAUUGAAUUAUUUCAAAACUUAUCUUACAUACACUUGCAUGUUUUUGACAAAACUCACAAAUCAACACACACACCAACCUUAUCCCUCCCCAAAACUGGCCACUCCCUCAAAGGGAGUACUUUUGGGGCUUUUAUGCAAUUACAUAAAGUUUUGAUACUUUUGUGUAUUUUCACUUUGGCCCAAAAGUUUACGUUUUUACGUUUAGGUCCAAAAACGCUAAAGGACAAAUUGUUUUGUUCCUUUAAUGAAGUUUUUGCAUUAUUAAAAGUUUGGGUUCUAGUUGUAUUUACAUGAAGUUGUGACUUUUGUGUAUUGUACAAAGUGACCCCAAAAGUUUUUGUUAUUGCAAUAUGGCCCAAAAGUUGAGGUU
rnacentral:lncRNA from 1 species